rnacentral:rRNA from 1 species
AUACGUAGGUGGCAAGCGUUAUCCGGAAUUAUUGGGCGUAAAGCGCGCGUAGGCGGUUUUUUAAGUCUGAUGUGAAAGCCCACGGCUCAACCGUGGAGGGUCAUUGGAAACUGGAAAACUUGAGUGCAGAAGAGGAAAGUGGAAUUCCAUGUGUAGCGGUGAAAUGCGCAGAGAUAUGGAGGAACACCAGUGGCGAAGGCGACUUUCUGGUCUGUAACUGACGCUGAUGUGCGAAAGCGUGGGGAUCAAACAGGAUUAGAUACCCUGGUAGUCCACGCCGUAAACGAUGAGUGCUAAGUGUUAGGGGGUUUCCGCCCCUUAGUGCUGCAGCUAACGCAUUAAGCACUCCGCCUGGGGAGUACGACCGCAAGGUUGAAACUCAAAGGAAUUGACGGGG